ACAACAAACCAGAAACAGAGAGCAGAGCUCAGUCAAACAAACAGCUGAAAGGAGGUUUAACUGGCUGCACAAAAAUGUAUCCAGGGGGCAUUCUGAAAAACAAAACAACCAAAACAACAACCAAAACAAAACAAGCAAAUGUGUCACAUGCAUGUACUGCACAGGUGUCUCUUCUCUUAAAUGCCUUCGACAACAUUUCCCGUUACACUUGAGGAAGUAUCGAGUCAAUUCAUGAGUGGUGACAGAAAAUCGAAGGCAUGCAGUGGUUUGUAGUCACAUUUUUGCACAGGCGAAAUGCUGUGACGGCAGCAUGAUGAGGGGAAAACGGCGGGAGGAAUCUCCCAACCGAGCACACUGAAGCUGAGCCAAAGGAAAAAAACAUUAGUUCAGACCAUUUUCAACUUUCUGUUAGGCCAGCAGUACGGCAAGCGUGGUUAAACAUUGCUCAAGUUCAUUAAAUCGUGAGUGAUAAUUAAUAAGCUAGCCUGUUUUCACUCGGAUGGUUACGCAUGUUGUAUUAAAAGGCAAAGCAAUUAUUAAAAAUAAAUGUAAAGACAUUUUGCAGGUAUCGGAUAGGAUUUAUUUAAAACUGUGUGACUUGCAUCAAAUGUUAUGGAUUUCCUUGAACAGGUUUUCACAAUUACUGCUGGAGUUCUGGCCAUUUCCUCCUGACAAAACUGGUGCAGCAAGUUUAUAUUAAUAUCUGCCCAGCUCUUUUCAACAGGACUGAGAUCAGGCUUUGUGAUGGCCUCGU